UUUACAAUUAUAGCGCCCGAACUAAGCACCGACGAUUAACAGGGGUUUAGUUGACGAGGAAAAAAGUUAUCGAAAAUUCGGCGGAUGCUUUUUCGGAAAAUGGAAUUUCGUUAAAUGCUGUACAAAGGUGUACUUUCACUACAAAAACAGUAUUAUUUCCCGUA
rnacentral:ncRNA from 1 species